rnacentral:rRNA from 1 species
UACGUAGGCAGCGAGCGUUGUUCGGAGUUACUGGGCGUAAAGCGUGCGUAGGCGGUUUUGUAAGUUUGGUGUGAAAUCUCCCGGCUCAACUGGGAGGGUGCGCCGAAAACUGCAAGGCUGGAGUGUGGGAGAGGUAGGCGGAAUUCCUGGUGUAGCGGUGAAAUGCGUAGAUAUCAGGAGGAACACCUGUGGUGUAGACGGCUCGCUGGGAAUGAUCUGACACUGAGACGCGAAAGCCAGGGGAGCGAACGGG